rnacentral:rRNA from 1 species
ACGAACGCUGGCGGCGUGCUUAACACAUGCAAGUCGAACGGAAAGGCUCCAGCUUGCUGGAGUACUCGAGUGGCGAACGGGUGAGUAACACGUGGGUAAUCUGCCCUGCACUCUGGGAUAAGCCUGGGAAACUGGGUCUAAUACUGGAUAUGACCUUUCUCCUUAUGGGGUUUGGUGGAAAGUUUUUCGGUGUAGGAUGAGCCCGCGGCCUAUCAGCUUGUUGGUGGGGUGAUGGCCUACCAAGGCGACGACGGGUAGCCGGCCUGAGAGGGUGAUCGGCCACAUUGGGACUGAGAUACGGCCCAGACUCCUACGGGAGGCAGCAGUGGGGAAUAUUGCACAAUGGGCGGAAGCCUGAUGCAGCGACGCCGCGUGAGGGAUGACGGCCUUCGGGUUGUAAACCUCUUUCGGCAGGGACGAAGCGUAAGUGACGGUACCUGCAGAAGAAGCACCGGCUAACUAUGUG